CUCCUCUCUCUCUCUCUCUCUCUCUCUCUCGCUCUCCCAACAAACAGUCCUUCAACCCCCUCAAUACUCCUCUCUCUCUCUCUCUCUCUCUUCCAACAAACAGUCCUUCAACCCCUUCAAUACUCCUCUCUCUCUCUUCCAACAAGCAGUCCUUCAACCCCCUCAAUACUCCCUCUCUCUCUCUCUCUCUCUCUCUCUCUCUUCCAACAAGCAGUCCUUCAACCCCCUUAAUACUACUCUCUCUCUCUUUCAACAAGCAUCCUUAAAACCCCUUCAAUACUCCUCUCUCUCUCUCUCUCUUCCAACAAGCAGUCCUUCAACCCCCUCAAUACUCCCCUCUCUC
rnacentral:lncRNA from 1 species